UGGGCCAGCGUAUGCAUAUUUAAUGGUAGAGUGGGCAGCGAUAAUUCAGAAUACUGGCUCACCGAGUGGGAAAGUGGAGAGGGAGGACGGAGGGAGGCUUUUCAGUGACAAGUGUGCACUUAUUGUUAAGAUGUGUAUGGUCCCUCACUGUUUCUUCUGCAUGUGGACUUGGAAGAAAUCUUAAAUGAUAGCAGCUGCUGAUGGAAUGGCCUGUGUGUUUGCAAAGUGGCAUGUGAGGUUGGACGGCAGAAUAUACAUUUAAAUCAUCCUCUUUUUUUUGUCAUCAGUAAAUGACUCAUGUAUAUUUUGCAACGUUUUGGGCCAGGUUGUCUUGGCACACUUGUAGUAAAGCCUCCAGGAGACAGUGUGGCUGGCAGGAACAGAGCAGGCGCUCAUAUACAAAGCCAGCACGUUUCUUUGUGUCUGCAGCAGCCGAGCGCUACCACCACCAGCAGCAUCAGCACCACCAGUGUCAGCAGCACCAGUAGCACCAGUGGAUCGGAGAGGGCUCUGGAGCACAGCUGGAGGACGCAUACAGCCGUCAGUCAUGAUGGUCAGUGGCCGCUCGCUGGUCGCCGGCUGCUCGGUGGAGGCUGUUGAAUGAGCGGACGUGUCGCUGGAGAGCGCUGUCCGAGGUGCUGAGGAGCUGCAGACUCUCUCUACCACACACACACACACACACACACGCACGCACGCACCGUCUCUGUCCCUUUUCCAGUCGAGACGAUACGCAUGAACUGACGUGAAUGCCGAGUAGCAGCAGCAGCGCAAGCCCAGCAGAGCGCAGCACCGCCGGCCAGAGUAAAUGGGACCGCACGUCGACCGAGCGUUAGAAAGAUGGAGAGAUUUCUGCUGCUCGUCCUCAGCUGUCUCGGCGUCUCUCGAGUCGCAGCGGAUAGCUUGUCACCUCCCGUCAAUGUGACCAUCAAAGCGCUGAAAGCAAACUCUGCUGUGGUGACAUGGGACAUCCCCGAGGGAGACUCCGUCAUUGGCUUCGCCAUCACACAGCAGAAGAAAGACGUGCGUAUGCUGCGAUUCAUCCAGGAAGUCAACACCACCACACGCUCCUGUGCAUUAUGGGACUUGGAGGAGGAGACCGACUACAUUGUGCAUGUCCAGUCCAUCAGCAUGUCUGGGACGAGCCCACUGAGCGAACCGCUGCGCUUCCGAACACCGAAGGAGGCCGAGACUCAGGCCUCUAAGAGUAAAGACGAAGUGACGAUGGAGGAAGUGGGCCAGACCACCCAGCUGAGGGCGGGGGAGCUCAUCAUCAUCGUGGUGGUACUUAUCAUGUGGGCAGGUGUGAUCGCUCUCUUCUGUCGCCAGUACGACAUAAUCAAAGACAACGAGCCCAACAACAACAAGGACAAAGCCAAAAACUCCUCGGAGUGCAGCACUCCUGAACACCCAACGGGGGGGCUGUUGCGCAGUAAGGUAUAACCCACCCCCUCCUCCUCCUCCUCUCCCCGGGUGCCUCCCCAUCAGCAGCGCCGGGCAGUUCUCCAAGAACAACAAGAUGCCAUCUGUUAACAUCAUUGAGGUGUGACUGCCAAGACGUCUCCUCUUUAUCCAAAAGACUUUGUGUUCUCACAAACCAACGGGGCCCCUUUUUAAGCCCAUCUGCUUGUCAGGAUGAGGCUGGGACUCUGGGCCCCUCGGCGUGGGGCCUACUACUCUCCUUUGGCACAGGGCCCGGUGUGGAGAUGAUGGCGCAGGACAACGGGGGGUCAGACACGAAGACCUGGCCGGUGCUGCUCUGAGAGCGGCGUCGGCAGUUGAGAGACUGCGGCUGGAGUUAAGUGGCUUCAAUGUGCUCAAUGACUACGGUACCAUGGGGCAGCAGAGAUUAGGGCAAAAUGGCUCCGGUGGUGGAGCGAUUGCAGACAAACCAACCACAGGGACCAAAACCGAUAAACAGAGCCACAGACCUUUUCAUUCUCUCUCCCCCUUUGUCACCUCUUUUCUUGUCGUCUUUCAGUGCGUUAUCAACAGCCACAAACCAGGAGCUUACCUAGUUCUGGGUUGCACUGGGAUCCACUUUGUUAUAUUCAUCUCCUGUACCUUGAUCUCAGCAUCUUCUCCUAAUUUCCUUUAUAACAUCCUGUUUUUAACUCUUUCUAAAUACUGUAGAUUAUUCAACUGUAUCACUGUUGUUUUACUUCUUUGAUUUUCAACAUGGUGCCUCCAGAGCACUCCUGUUGUUCUGGUAUCUUUAUUUUCUUAAUUUAGAUCCCCUUUCCUCCUCUGAAAGAAACUCUUUAUCCUCCUGUGGGAAACGUUUUAUUCUCGCUAGCUCAUUUUCCCACCUCAGGGAAUCCAGACUCAACCUGGCCAAUGUAAGAGCCAUUUAUUAGAUUAGCUUUAGCAGGAUCACUUGGCUCACCACCAAAGCAGAAUUUCCCAAUUUUGUCAAAAAACUUAAGACGAAACUUGUUAGCUCGCAUUGAAAGGCAUCUCCGAUUUGAAUACAUGUAGACGUGAAGUGAAGUCCAUGAACGUUUUUUUUCCGUCACACUUGGAUUUUGACAUUCUCUUACUUCUGUCCUACUUUUAUUAUAGAUUUCUGAAAUGCUACAUUCCACCUUCCACAAUGAGCCCUUUAGUAUUUCCUUGUGUCUUUCUCUUAGAGGGUGAUGGUUUUCAGAGCAUUUUGGGGCCGGGGAGGAAAAGGAGCUGCCAUAGCGUUAUGCAUUCAUCUAAUUAAUGAACUUCAAAAAGAGGCUGGACUCUGAGGACGUGUACAGAGGAGUGGACUGAAGAGAACCCUGGUAUCAGCAAUAAUAGCCCUCAGUGGAGUGCAGGAGCCAGGACUCUAUGGCCUCUUCGUCCUAAACUCAACCUCCCAGCAUGCAAUGUUUGGACACAUGAUGAAACUGAACAUAUGUGAGGGAAUGAAUGCUGAGUCUGAGUCAGAGAAAAGUUAAAGCGCUGUUGUAAAAACUUUAGUUUCUGAUGGCUAGCAUGAAAAAGAAACUUUUUUUAAGGGCCCAAAUCUUCAACCCUUAGACUGCUUCGUGACAUCUAGAACAGAUGUCGCAAAGACAGAAGGGCUUCAAUCAAAGAGUUUUUCUCAAUUCAAAGUCGAAAUUUGUGUUGAACUCAAUGUUAAAGAGGCUGAAACGCAGUGAUAAGAUGGUCAACUGUGAUCUGUAAGGUGGACUUGUUAUAAGACAGUGAAAUGGUGUAUUUGAGGGCUGAUCUAAACUCAGUAGUACUGCCUUAAAAAUAAUAUCUUGUGUUUUCACCAACAAGACGGAAGUAUAUCAAGUUUGUGUCAUUUGCUUUAUCACAUGAUAUUUAAUUAGGUGUGCGAAGUAAAAGGAAAUAUCGCAGAGUGACGAUAUUUAGACCAAGUUUAGAUAAGUGUAAAUGUGGAGGUAAUGUUGUGGCAUUUAAUGUGUAAAUACAUUUUAUAUUUCAUUCUUGUUUGGUGGUGUCACUUUAGAGAGCCUUUUAUGAAACAUGACAACACUAAUGUGAACAAUGUAUAGCCUCAUAACGUAAGAGGGCAUUGCUACUGGGGAUUUUGAUGUUAUGCACAGCUAUAAAAGUCAUGUUAUUAACCAGCUUUUUUCAUAGCAGCCCUCUAAUAUGUAUUUCUAUCACAUUAUAUCAAUGUGGUGUUUGUGUACAAUAGGAAAGUACUUUUUUUUAAUGAGGAAUGUGAUAAAAAAAAUAUUUUAAAUAGUCAACAAAACAUACCCGUUAAAAGCCGCUGGAAGUCUCCAUCGACAGAGUGAUAAACCCUCUUACUCCACACUCAUUUUGCUAUGCAUCGUGAGUCAUUUAUUGUAAACAAACAAAUACGGUACGUGCACACAAACAUAACAGAUCACAAAGCCAACAGCAGUGAACUGAGGAAGGCUGCAAAGGCAGGUAAAAAAAGCAGUGAGGUUUAUGGUCGGGUAGAGCGGGUUGAAAGGUAGAAUGACUAAUGCAGUGGAAGGCUUUUAUCACUCUCUUGCUUCCUCCACCUCCCCCUCUCGCAGCUUUCACUCUUAAUAAGAGGAAAAGCUCAAGAUUGUGCUCCUGCAAAAAGAACCUAACUUGUGUCAGAGGCAGGAGUGGAUUUAAGGUAAAGUCAGAGUGGGAAAAGGCAUAAGAGACUGAUUCACUCAGAUGUUUCUGCUGUUGCCAGGAAAAACAUGGUGAAGCAACUACAAAAGCGCUCUGCUGCAUCACUCCAGAGUGAUCAGCUCUUUACCCCAAACUUCUGCAGCUGAAGGCUGAAUCCAUUUUUUCCCGAGAACACAGCACUGGUACCGGGCCUCUCCGAUCGAUAGGCCUCCAUCCACACAGAAAUGGAUAGUGAUGAUUGUCUCCCUGAAUGGUUUCUCUAAACUAGUGCCAUGCCUUAAGUUUGCCAGUAAUAUGUUUUUCAGCAGCAUUCCCUGUAGGCACUUUUUAUUUACUUUCCUCCUCCGCAGUCGCUUCAAUAAGUUAAACUUCAGCUAGCAACAUAAGAUGUUCACUUUGAAAGCCUUUACAGGUUUGACUGAUUAAAGUUGAUCCAAACAGUGCAUCAUCUUCAGAUUAUGGUUCACUUCUAUGUUGCCACUGUAAAUAAUGUAUUACUGAUUUAAAUGUAGGGCUACUGAGAACAUUCACUUGUGUUGAAGGUUGUCCAACUGUUAAAGGACAUUUUGCAGUUAGAUUAGAAGAUCAAUACCACUUUUAUCACAUCUAUAAUAUAAAUAUGAAGCUACAGCCAGUGGCUAGUUAGCUUAGCCGUUUCCAGUAUUUAUUCUAAGCUAAGCAGCUGCUGGCUAGAGCUACAAAGCUCAUGAGUUAUAUUGAUCGUCUCAUCUAAUUCUUUAAACCUGAUUAAGCACAUUUUCCAAAAUGCCGAACUACUCAUUUAAGGGUAGCAGUAGGCUGUCUGCAUAUAAUCUAUGUCUUGUGCUUCUCUGUUUGACGUUAACUGCUGUGGAUGGAGAACACAACUCAACUUCCUGCUUAAAAAAAAAAGAAAUGAAGCCGAAACCCCCUGCAUAUGUGUCCCGUCAUCUUGCACUUCUGAUCUCAUUUGGAGCCAGAAUCUGUGUACGUGCGAUUGGGGUGCGGGGCCAAAGAUACAUGCUCUUGACCAACCACGAGUCAGUCUCAUUUUAUAGCAUCAAAUAAUUAAUUAAAAACAACUUACUGGAAAAAAUAUAACUUGAACGAACAUCAGUGCAAUAAAAAUUACAAACAAUGACAGAAACCAUUUAUGAAGGAAAGUUUAUUCACAUACUGCAGCCAGGGGGCAAUCAAAACGUUUUGGCUUCACUUUUUGGGAGCUGUCAUGUCUUAAAAUGUUAUAUACAGUCUAUGGUUUCACUAAGAUUCACAAAAACAGGGUGUAACAUGUUGGUUGGAUCAGUGGAAGAUGGCUCUACACAUUUCAUACAUGGCAGCAUAGCGUACACUCAAUCAGCCUCACCAGACCUGUUCCUACUCCUGAAGAGACAAACUGAUGGUUUGGAUUCAAGUUGACUGUUGUCAUGAGAACCACUGAUGCUUCUGGUUGAAAUAGGUUAAAUACACACCUGUCCACAGCAGAUAGAAAAUUACUUUUUUCUUUUAAUCAAACUCGACAAAUGGUGACGACUGUAAGAACUCGACAUUCCACUUGAGCCCUGUGGUGUGAGGCCACAACUACACACUGAGGACUUUGUUUCAGUGCCAGAGGCCCGAGGCUUUUUCUCAAGCUACUUUAUGUACCAUACAAUGCCUGAAAGAGAAAAAUAUGCUUGGUAGCUGUACUGGACUGUUUUGUGAUGUGAUGGCGCAGCAGUAACAGAGAUGGGAUUUAUUUUUUUUAUUUUAAACAACUUACACAGUGUGUAUUUUGUAUUAGACUAGAAACAUGCCAGGAAAUUGAGAACAUUCUGUCAAGGGGAUAUUGAAAUGGAGCCACAAAGAAGCAUGGUUUAGAGAAACUGCUUUAUUAGUGCUAUCAUGUUUAUAUUCAUCGUACGAAGUGCACAGCAGUCAUUGCUUAAUGAGGGCUAGCAUGAUUUAACUAUUAUGCACAAGGUUACACAACUUCUAUUAUGAAGAAUAUGGUGUAUGCUUACUUGUGUAUGCUUAAAUAAAAUAUGUAAUUUUUUCCACAAA